AAGGAUGUUUCAGUAUCAGGAUGGUGUCCC
rnacentral:piRNA from 1 species